CAAUGACUCUCGGCAACGGAUAUCUCGGCUCUCGCAUCGAUGAAGAACGUAGCGAAAUGCGAUACUUGGUGUGAAUUGCAGAAUCCCGUGAACCAUCGAGUCUUUGAACGCAAGUUGCGCCCGAAGCCUUUCGGCCGAGGGCACGUCUGCCUGGGCGUCACGC
rnacentral:rRNA from 3 species